UACAACCGUGCCCCAAACCUUGUUUAAAUAUACUUAUCCAUUUUUAUAUUAUGUCCGAAUAAGUUAAUUGCACAUCACUUUAAAUGUUACGUUCGUUUUUAUACGAUGUAUAAAAAAAGAAAUUUUUUAAAUCAAGGCAAUGUUUAUUGUUUUUGGAAAUUAGAAUAGUCGUGUUCCUAAUUGACGGAAUAUGACUUCUUUCUAAAACCGAAACAGUUUAAUAUCUAUUUAAAAAAAGAGAUUUAAG
rnacentral:lncRNA from 1 species